CUCGCGUGUCAGAGUUUGAUCAUGGCUCAGAGCGAACGCUGGCGGCGUGCCUAACACAUGCAAGUCGAACGUGAAAUGGAGCAAUCCAAAGUAAAGUGGCGUACGGGUGAGUAACGCGUAGGUAAUCUACCCUAGAGUCUGGAAUAACCGGCCGAAAGGCUGGCUAAUACUAGAUAGAGCGACGGAACUCGUAACGAGUUUUUCGGGAAAGGGAGCCCGCAAGGGCCUUCGCUUUGGGAUGAGCCUGCGUCUCAUUAGCUAGUUGGUAGGGUAAUGGCCUACCAAGGCAUUGAUGGGUAGCUGGUCUGAGAGGAUGAUCAGCCACACUGGAACUGAAACACGGUCCAGACUCCUACGGGAGGCAGCAGUGGGGAAUCUUGCGCAAUGGACGAAAGUCUGACGCAGCCACGCCGCGUGAGUGAAGAAGGCCUUCGGGUUGUAAAGCUCUGUCGGACGGGACGAACAUAUCUAGGGUUAACAGCCCUAGGUACUGACGGUACCGUCAAAGGAAGCACCGGCUAACUUCGUGCCAGCGCCGCGGUAAU
rnacentral:rRNA from 1 species